AGUGAACGCUGGCGGUAGGCCUAAUACAUGCAAGUCGAACGGACGCACAGUAAGAGCUUGUCCUUACGGGUGGCGAGUGGCGGACGGGUGAGGCAUACAUAGGCUUCCUCUUUUUCGUGGGGGAUAUCGUAGGGCCACUUCUGAUAACACCGCAUAUUUUCUACGGGUGAGUGCAGGGGAUCUUCGCAGCUUGCGCGUUUGUAUGAGAUGAUGUCGGAUUAGCUAGUUGGCGAGGUAAGGGACCACCAAGGCAACGAUACGUAGCUGAUCUGAGAGGAUGAUCCGCCACACUGGAACUGAGACACGGUCCAGACUCCUACGGGAGGCAGCAGUGGGGAAUAUUCGACAAUGGGCGCAAGCCUGAUCCAGCCAUACCGCGUGAGUGAUGAAGGCCUUCGGGUUGUAAAGCCCUGUUAUUAGGAAAGAAAAGCAGUAUGAGAAAACCCCGCUGUUCUGACGGUACCCAAAGAAAAAGCACCGGCUAACUUCGUG
rnacentral:rRNA from 1 species